rnacentral:lncRNA from 1 species
CAGAGAUCUGCUUGCCUCUGCCUCCUGAGUGCUGGGAUUAAAGGCAUGUGCACCAAUGCCCAGCAGCCUUGAUUAAUUUUAUUUCAGUUAUUGAAUAGGACAUCAUUAGAAGACUGUCUUCAUACACUCUGGCCAUCUGGACAAGAUAUUACGCAGUUACAUAUGCUUUCACUAGGUAGCCAUGGAGCUUGGAACUUCUGAUCUCCCUUCCUCAAUUCCCUCCUACCAUAACCUCAGGAUUGCAGGGAAUAGUUGGAAAGGAGAGAAGAGUCAUCAGGCAAUUGGUGGAGCCCAACAGCUGGGCUGUGACGUAAUGGAGAAGGACAACUGAACAGUCGGGAAACGAGACAAAGAACUCUGCUGAAGCCACCACCAUCCCAGGGUAGCAGCACAUGCCAGAGGCUUCACACAGUGGAGUCAUAGCAAGGAUAAGAUUCAUUAAGACUAGAGCCAAGCCAGUGAACAGGUAAGAGAGGAAAAGCCCCGUAAAGGUAAGAGAGGCUGGUAUCUUGAAAUUCUCUUGUAAUCUAAUUGACUUAAAACAUCUUGUUUACAAAAGGACAAGGAAGGAGUGGGAGAGGGAGGAACAAGGGAAAACUAACAAACAAGUAAAGAUGCAACCAGGUGAAACAUUGUGGCUCACACACAGAAAACACAUAACACAACUGGAAACUAAGGAGCCUAAAUGUCAAAUUUUACAGCUACUGCAAAAGCAGCCAUUAUAAAUGCUCUUUUUAAAUGAAUGAAACAAUGCCUAAGUAAACUAAUCAAAAUCUCUCAUCAGCCUAUGUAGGUACCUAGACAAAAUUUAAAGACAUUAACCAAAUAGACACUCUAUGGUAGAGGAGUCUGAUGGAGGUGAAAGUCCCAGGAGAGAUGAAGGCCGGAUUAUUUUUAAUAUACCUCUGUAUAUCUAUAGAGACAGAGUCUAGUGGUAAAGAAUUUGCAACAUAGAG